rnacentral:rRNA from 1 species
GAUGAACGCUAGCGAUAGGCUUAACACAUGCAAGUCGAGGGGUAGCAGGGAGUAGCAAUACUCUGCUGACGACCGGCGCACGGGUGAGUAACGCGUAUGCAACUUGCCCUAUACACGGGGAUAGCCCGUUGAAAGACGGAUUAAUACCCGAUAUUAUUAAUAGAUCGCCUGAUUUAUUAAUGAAAGAUUUAUCGGUAUAGGAUGGGCAUGCGUUCCAUUAGCUAGUUGGUAAGGUAACGGCUUACCAAGGCAACGAUGGAUAGGGGAACUGAGAGGUUUAUCCCCCACACUGGAACUAAGACACGGACCAGACUCCUACGGGAGGCAGCAGUGAGGAUAUUGGUCAAUGGACGAGAGUCUGAACCAGCCAAGUCGCGUGAAGGAUGACUGCCUUAUGGGUUGUAAACUUCUUUUAUAUAGGAAUAAAGUGAGAUACGUGUAUCUUUUUAGCAAGUACUAUAUGAAUAAGCAUCGGCUAACUCCGUGCCAGCCGCCGCGGUAA